ACGGGGGGGGCAAGCGUUGUUCGGAAUUACUGGGCGUAAAGGGUUCGUAGGUGGCCAACUAAGUCAGACGUGAAAUCCCUCAGCUCAACUGGGGAACUGCGUCUGAUACUGGUUGGCUUGAGUGCAGGAGAGGAACGCGGAAUUCCAGGUGUAGCGGUGAAAUGCGUAGAUAUCGGGAGGAACACCAGUGGCGAAGGCGAGUCCCUGGGAUGAUACUGACGCUGAUGCUCGAAAGCUAGGGGAGCAAACGGGA
rnacentral:rRNA from 1 species